ensembl:misc_RNA 7SK 7SK RNA
GGAUGUGAGGGUUAUCUGGCUGCGACAUCUGUCACCCCAUUGAUCGCCAGGUUCGAUUCAGCUGAUCUGGCUGGCUAGGUAGGUGUCUCCUUCCUCCCUCACCGCUCCAUGUGCAUCCCUCCUGAAGCUGCACACUCGGUCAGAGGAUGACCAUAAAGGAGGACCGUUCUUCGGUCAAGGGUGUACGAGUAGCUGCACUCCCCUGCUGGAACCUCCAAACAGGCUCUCAAGGUCCAUUGUAGAAGAACUUAGGAUGGUCAAGCUCUCAAGACUCCAGACACAUUCACAUGAGGCGCUGCAGGUGGCAGUCUGCCUUAAAAA